rnacentral:rRNA from 1 species
UACGUAGGUGACAAGCGUUGUCCGGAUUUACUGGGCGUAAAGAGCGCGCAGGCGGUCGAUCAAGUCGAGUGUGAAAGCCCCCGGCUCAACUGGGGAGGGUCAUUCGAUACUGAUCGACUCGAAGGCAGGAGAGGGUAGUGGAAUUCCCGGUGUAGUGGUGAAAUGCGUAGAUAUAGGGAGGAACACCAGUGGCGAAGGCGACUACCUGGCCUGUUCUUGACGCUGAGGCGCGAAAGCUAGGGGAGCAAACGGG